UGCCUCUCUUUAGAAAAAAAAAAAGAAAAAAAUGGGGUCAGACCCGAGAGAUAAAAAAAGAAAAAGAAAAGGGGGGAGGGUUUUUCAUAGAACACUCUUGAUUCACGAAGAUUUAACCGUCCAAACUCAAAUUCGACUUCGGAAACGUGAUCUACGUGUGAGGAUCUACGUUCUUACCGAUUGUUUUGAGGUAAUGGGUUACUUAGAAUUUACUUGAGACUACCCAAACCAUGAGUUUGGUUUGGUGAAUUUUUGUGACGCAUUACAAGGUGAUGUCUAGGAGACCAAGUGCUUAAUAUCCGCGCAGUCAAAAUAUUGAUGCUUUGGUUGCAGGUUCUGUGGAUAUAGACAUUGACUUGUCCACCUAGCGCAUGGGAUGCUAUGAUUGGAGCACAUUGCGACAGUCAUAAGUCACAGACUCACGGGUAGUCAGCUUUUUGGGAUUUAAUUUAUGGCUCGUGUCCUAUGUGGCAUAUGUAUAUGUUGAGCCUAUAUUUUAGUAUGCAAUUAGUGUAAUGCGUUUUAUAAGCCAUAAAUAGAUAGACUUAUAAAUGGCUCUUGUUGUAGUUAACUGUUCUGUAU